rnacentral:rRNA from 1 species
CCUACGGGAGGCAGCAGUGGGGAAUAUUGGGCAAUGGGCGCAAGCCUGACCCAGCAACGCCGCGUGAAGGAAGAAGGCUUUCGGGUUGUAAAAUUCUUUUGUCAGGGACGCAGCAAGUGACGGUACCUGACGAAUAAGCCUCGGCUAACUACGGGCCAGCAGCCGCGGCAAUACGUAAGGGGCAAGAGGUAUCCGGAUUUACUGGGGGUAAAGGGCGUGUAGGCGGGACUGGAAGGCAGAUGGGAAAACCACGGGGUCAACCUGUGUCCUGCAUUUGAAACUGUAGUUCUUGAGUGCUGGAGAGGCAGACGGAAUUCCUAGUGUAGCGGUGAAAUGCGUAGAUAUUAGGAGGAACACCAGUGGCGAAGGCAGUAUGCUGGACAGCAACUGACGCUGAGGCGCGAAAGCGUGGGGAGCAAACAGGAUUAGAUACCCUUGUAGUC